UACGUAGGGGGCAAGCGUUGUCCGGAAUCAUUGGGCCUAAAGAGCGCGUAGGCGGCCCUGUAAGUCCGCUGUGAAAGUCAAGGGCUCAACCCUUGGAUGCCGGUGGAUACUGCAGGGCUAGAGUCCGGAAGAGGCGAGUGGAAUUCCUGGUGUAGCGGUGAAAUGCGCAGAUAUCAGGAGGAACACCGAUGGCGAAGGCAGCUCGCUGGGACGUUACUGACGCUGAGACGCGAAAGCGUGGGGAGCAAACAGG
rnacentral:rRNA from 1 species